ACGAGUCCACCACAACACCCACCGCCCUAUCUAGAUCCACUUCUCCCUCUCCGGCGACGAUGCAGCGACAGGCGGGGGACGGCGACGUGCUGGAGAUUGGGGAGUCGACAGCAGCGGAAUUGCGACGGCGUGCAUCGGCGCUAGACAUGGACAUUCAUCACCUCCCAUGCUCGCUAGACUCGCUCGAUCAUGUCAAUCUCGACUAGGUCUGCAUCCUCUCCCUCUCUCUCUUCGCAAAUCGCUCGAUCCUGCCAAACCCUUGCUACGCCCACCAUUGAUAGGGGCACGGGUUUGAAUUAUUCGACUAGCGCGAGCUCGUGGAGAUCGGAGAGGCGCCAGUGACCCCUUCCACAGUGUGAUGUUGAACGAGGCAAGGGAGGCCGGCUUCAAGACCUUCCUGCCCAGCUGCACAGUGGACAAUCUCAAAAAACAAGGGCUCCAUGAGUGGGACAAGCUCAUAUUGAGUGGCAUGCUGGAUCAAGGCAACAGAAUGAAAACCACCGGGGAUCAAACUGUGCAGAGAGAUGGAUGGCUGCACGUAUAUUGGAGAACAUGUUACUUGACAAUGACGCCAGAGAGAGCAUGCCAAUGUGUGAUGAUAAUCAUAAGAGGAAACAAAGUCUGGGGA